AUGCCUUUUCAACUCAUACGUUGUGCAGAAACCGUACAAAACAGUACUGUCGCCUACCUGUUUUUCCACCGCUCGCUUCACCGAAAGCCCAGAAUAAUGGAUCACGGAGAUAAUGCCUUCGCGACGAAAAAAAGUUUAUCCUAUAAUAACUUUAGUCCCUCUGAAAUUGAUAAUUUUGUUGAUAGUGCUGCAGGCUCACUACAAAGAACAUUAGACUCUAUUGCUCCUAUAAAAAGGAAAUUAUUAAAACAUAGGAGACUAGCACCGUGGUACAACCACCAAACCCGGCAGUUAAAGCAAAUAGCUAGGAAAUCUGAAAGGAAAUGGCGCUCUUCCAAAUUAUCAGAAUAUCGCUCAAUUUGGCAAAAUAAUCUUAAAACUUAUAGAAAGGCCCUCUGUAAUGCCAGAGGAGCUUAUUACUCAGCACUAAUAGAAGAAAACAAGAAUAACCCUAGGUUCCUCUUCAGCACUGUAGCCAGGCUGACAGAGAGCCACAGCUCUAUUGAGCCACAUAUCCCCAUAAACUUAAGUAGCAAUGACUUCAUGAGCUUCUUCUAUAAUAAAAUUAUUACUAUUAGAGAAAAAAUUAAUCACCAACUGCCAGCAACAGUUAUCAGCGGCUCUCCAAGUUCAGGGACUUUUGCUAAUGUAAACUUAGAUAUAUAUUUAGACUGUUUUUCUGCUAUCGAUCUUCAUCAGUUAACUUCAAUAAUUUCUUCAUCGAAGCCAUCAACCUGUCUGUUAGACCCUAUCCCAACUAGACUGCUUAAAGAAGUUGUUCCCUUAAUUGGCACUUCUUUACUGGAUAUGAUUAAUCUCUCUUUAUUAUCAGGAUAUGUACCACAGUCCUUUAAGGUAGCUGUAAUUAAACCCCUUCUUAAAAAGCCCACUCUUGACCCAGGGGUUUUAGCUAACUAUAGACCAAUCUCUAACCUCUCGUUCCUCUCUAAGAUUCUGGAGAAGGUAGUCGCCAAAGAGUUGUGUGACUUUCUACAUAACAAUAGUUUAUUUGAGGAUUUUCAGUCAGGAUUUAUAGUUCAUCAUAGCACAGAGACAGCUCUGGUUAAAGUUAAUAAUGACCUUCUGAUUGCUUCUGACAAUGGACUUGUCUCUGUACUUGUAUUAUUAGAUCUUAGUGCUGCAUUUGACACCAUUGACCAUAAUAUUCUUUAA
rnacentral:lncRNA from 15 species